CCAAACUUGGUCAUUUAGAGGAAGUAAAAGUCGUAACAAGGUUUCCGUAGGUGAACCUGCGGAAGGAUCAUUAUUGAAUAAACUUAAUAGAUUGUUGCUGGUUCGCAGAGCAAGUGCACGUCUAUUAUUUUUAUAUCUCCACCAUGUGCACUAUGCAUAGAUCUGAAUAUUAUAAUCAAGUUUACUUGGUUGAUUGGAAAUUGCUGUUCACUUGAGUAGCUUUUUCUGUGUUCGGAUUCUAUGUCUUUAUAUAUACCCCAAUGUAUGUGUAAUGAACGAUUGCAAGGCUUUUACAGCCUAUAAUGUUAUUAUACAACUUUCAGCAACGGAUCUCUUGGCUCUCGCAUCGAUGAAGAACGCAGC
rnacentral:misc_RNA from 1 species